GACGGUACCUGAGGAAUAAGCAUCGGCUAACUCCGUGCCAGCAGCCGCGGUAAUACGGAGGAUGCAAGCGUUAUCCGGAAUGAUUGGGCGUAAAGAGUCCGUAGGUGGCAUUGAAAGUCUGCCGUUAAAGAGUCUAGCUCAACUAGAUAAGAGCGGUGGAAACUACAAAGCUAGAGUUCGGUCGGGGCAGAAGGAAUUCCUGGUGUAGCGGUGAAAUGCGUAGAGAUCAGGAAGAACACCGGUGGCGAAAG
rnacentral:rRNA from 1 species